rnacentral:tRNA from 1 species
UUCCCGAUCGUCCAAAGGUAGGACACCCGGCUGUUAACCGGUCAAUCGUGGUUCGACUCCACGUCGGGGAGCCA